rnacentral:lncRNA from 1 species
GGAAAUUCCACUGGGUCUGCAGCUCACACAUAGGCAUGACCAGCAUAGAGAUAGAGAGGCCCCAGUGCUGCUGAGUAACUGUGAUUCCCCAGGUGAUGGCAUCAGCUGAGAAGGGAAGGAAGCCCAUGAGAGGACACUGAAGAAGGAGUGAGCAGACAAUAAGAAGCCCACAGAAGACAGAGAAGGAACAACUAGAGGGAGAAGCCAAGGCAGGCGUGUGUGUUUCUCCAC